rnacentral:rRNA from 1 species
CGUGUAGGCGGCUAAAUAGGUCCGUUGUGAAAACUCGAGGCUCAACCUCGAGAUGCCGAUGGAAACCAUUUGGCUAGAGUCCGGAAGAGGAGAGUGGAAUUCCCGGUGUAGCGGUGAAAUGCGCAGAUAUCGGGAAGAACACCCGUGGCUAAGGCGGCUCUCUAGUACGGUACUGACGCUGAGACGCGAAAGCGUGGGGAGCGAACA